UUGAUCCUGGCUCAGAAUCAACGCUGGCGGCGCGCCUAACACAUGCAAGUCGAACGAGAAAGUGGAGCAAUCCAUGAGUAAAGUGGCGUACGGGUGAGUUACACGUGGAUCAUCUACCUUCUAGUGGGGAAUACCGUUGGGAAACCGACUACAAUACCGCAUAAGCUCGAGAGAGGAAAGCCGCAAGGCGCUGGAAGAGUAGUCCGCGGCUGAUUAGCUAGUUGGUGAGGUAAUGGCUCACCAAGGCUCUGAUCAGUAGCCGGCCUGAGAGGGCACACGGCCACACUGGCACUGAAACAUGGGCCAGACUCCUACGGGAGGCAGCAGUGGGGAAUCUUGCACAAUGGGGUAAACCCUGAUGCAGCGACGCCGCGUGAGCGAUGAAGCCCUUCGGGGUGUUAAGCUCUUUCGGCAGGGAAGAUUAUGACGGUACCUGCAGAAGCAGCUGCUGCUAACUACGUGCCAGCAGCCGCGGUAAUU
rnacentral:rRNA from 1 species